UACGUAGGGUGCAAGCGUUAAUCGGAAUUACUGGGCGUAAAGCGUGCGCAGGCGGUUUUGUAAGUCAGAUGUGAAAUCCCCGGGCUUAACCUGGGAACUGCGUUUGAAACUACAAGGCUAGAGUGUGGCAGAGGGGGGUGGAAUUCCACGUGUAGCAGUGAAAUGCGUAGAGAUGUGGAGGAACACCGAUGGCGAAGGCAGCCCCCUGGGAUGUGACUGACGCUCAUGUACGAAAGCGUGGGGAGCAAACAGG
rnacentral:rRNA from 1 species